UACAGAGGUCUCGAGCGUUAGGCGGAAUCACUGGGCUUAAAGCGUGUGUAGGUGGAUCGUUAAGUACCUUGUGAAAUCCCACGGCUUAACCGUGGAACUGCUUGGUAUACUGGCGGUCUUGAGCCAGCUAGGGGCUACCGGAACAAAUGGUGGAGCGGUGAAAUGCGUAGAUAUCAUUUGGAACGCCAAUGGUGAAAAACAGGGUAGCUGGGGGCUGUGCUGACGGCUGAGACA
rnacentral:rRNA from 1 species